rnacentral:rRNA from 1 species
UACGUAGGGUGCAAGCGUUUGUCCGGAAUUAUUGGGCGUAAAGAGCUCGUAGGCGGUUUGUUGCGUCGGCUGUGAAAUCCCGAGGCUCAACCUCGGGUCUGCAGUCGAUACGAGCAAACUAGAGUGUUGCAGGGGGAGACUGGAAUUCCUGGUGUAGCGGUGAAAUGCGCAGAUAUCAGGAGGAACACCGGUGGCGAAGGCGGGGUCUCUGGGGCAACAACUGACGCUGGAGGAGCG